UCUUGGUCCCAUUAGAGGAAGUAAAAGUCGUAACAAGGUCUCCGUUGGUGAACCAGCGGAGGGAUCAUUACUGAGUUUACGCUCUACAACCCUUUGUGAACAUACCUAUAACUGUUGCUUCGGCGGGCAGGGUCUCCGUGACCCUCCCGGCCUCCCGCCCCCGGGCGGGUCGGCGCCCGCCGGAGGAUAACCAAACUCUGAUUUAACGACGUUUCUUCUGAGUGGUACAAGCAAAUAAUCAAAACUUUUAACAACGGAUCUCUUGGUUCUGGCAUCGAUGAAGAACGCAGCGAAAUGCGAUAAGUAAUGUGAAUUGCAGAAUUCAGUGAAUCAUCGAAUCUUUGAACGCACAUUGCGCCCGCCAGCAUUCUGGCGGGCAUGCCUGUUCGAGCGUCAUUUCAACCCUCAAGCUCUGCUUGGUGUUGGGGCCCUACAGCCGAUGUAGGCCCUCAAAGGUAGUGGCGGACCCUCCCGGAGCCUCCUUUGCGUAGUAACUUUACGUCUCGCACUGGGAUCCGGAGGGACUCUUGCCGUAAAACCCCCAAUUCUCCAAAGGUUGACCUCGGAUCAGGUAGGAAUACCCGCUGAACUUAAGCAUAUCAAAGGCCGGGAGGAA
rnacentral:sRNA from 1 species